rnacentral:rRNA from 1 species
AACGAACGCUGGCGGCGGGCUUAACACAUGCAAGUCGAACGCAUCCUUCGGGGUGAGUGGCAGACGGGUGAGUAACGCGUGGGAACGUGCCCUUCAGUUCGGGAUAACCCAGGGAAACUUGGGCUAAUACCGGAUACGUGCGAGAGCAGAAAGAUUUAUCGCUGAAGGAUCGGCCCGCGUCUGAUUAGCUAGUUGGUGGGGUAAUGGCCCACCAAGGCGACGAUCAGUAGCUGGUCUGAGAGGAUGAUCAGCCACAUUGGGACGGAGACACGGCCCAAACUCCUACGGGAGGCAGCAGUGGGGAAUAUUGGACAAUGGGCGCAAGCCUGAUCCAGCCAUGCCGCGUGAGUGAUGAAGGCCUUAGGGUUGUAAAGCUCUUUCGUCCGGGACGAUAAUGACGGUACCGGAAGAAGAAGCCCCGGCUAACUUCGUGCCAGCAGCCGCCGUAA